CACUCCUGCGGGAGGCAGCAGUGGGGAAUUUUGGUCAAUGGGCGAAAGCCUGAUCCAGCCAUGCCGCGUGCAGGAUGAAGGCCUUCGGGUUGUAAACUGCUUUUGUACGGAACGAAACGGCCUUUUCUAAUAAAGAGGGCUAAUGACGGUACCGUAAGAAUAAGCACCGGCUAACUACGUGCCAGCAGCCGCGGUAAUACGUAGGGUGCAAGCGUUAAUCGGAAUUACUGGGCGUAAAGCGUGCGCAGGCGGUUAUGUAAGACAGUUGUGAAAUCCCCGGGCUCAACCUGGGAACUGCAUCUGUGACUGCAUAGCUAGAGUACGGUAGAGGGGGAUGGAAUUCCGCGUGUAGCAGUGAAAUGCGUAGAUAUGCGGAGGAACACCGAUGGCGAAGGCAAUCCCCUGGACCUGUACUGACGCUCAUGCACGAAAGCGUGGGGAGCAAACAGGAUUAGAAACCCCAGUAGUCCC
rnacentral:rRNA from 1 species